rnacentral:rRNA from 1 species
CUUUGGGGUGUGACUGCGUACCUUUUGUAUAAUGGGUCAGCGACUUAUAUUCUGUAGCAAGGUUAACCGAAUAGGGGAGCCGGAGGGAAACCGAGUCUUAAUUGGGCGUUAAGUUGCAGGGUAUAGACCCGAAACCCGGUGAUCUAGCCAUGGGCAGGUUGAAGGUUGGGUAACACUAACUGGAGGACCGAACCGACUAAUGUUGAAAAAUUAGCGGAUGACCUGUGGCUGGGGGUGAAAGGCCAAUCAAACCGGGAGAUAGCUGGUUCUCCCCGAAAGCUAUUUAGGUAGCGCCUCGUGAAUUCAUCUCCGGGGGUAGAGCACUGUUUCGGCUAGGGGGCCAUCCCGGCUUACCAACCCGAUGCAAACUGCGAAUACCGGAGAAUGUUAUCACGGGAGACACACGGCGGGUGCUAACGUCCGUCGUGAAGAGGGAAACAACCCAGACCGCCAGCUAAGGUCCCAAAGUCAUGGUUAAGUGGGAAACGAUGUGGGAAGGCCCAGACAGCCAGGAUGUUGGCUUAGAAGCAGCCAUCAUUUAAAGAAAGCGUAAUAGCUCACUGGUCGAGUCGGCCUGCGCGGAAGAUGUAACGGGGCUAAACCAUGCACCGAAGCUGCGGCAGCGAACGUAUCACUUAAAGCGAUUCAGCGGGUUACGAUU